rnacentral:rRNA from 1 species
AGUGAACGCUGGCGGUAGGCCUAACACAUGCCAGUCGAACGGCAGCACAGUAAGAGCUUGCUCUUACGGGUGGCGAGUGGCGGACGGGUGAGGUAUACAUCGGAAUCUACCUUUUCGUGGGGGAUAACGUAGGGAAACUUACGCUAAUACCGCAUACGACCUACGGGUGAAAGCAGGGGAUCUUCGGACCUUGCGCGAUUGAAUGAGCCGAUGUCGGAUUAGCUAGUUGGCGGGGUAAAGGCCCACCAAGGCGACGAUCCGUAGCUGGACUGGGAGGAUGGUAGGCCACACUGGAACUGAGACACGGUCCAGACUCCUACGGGAGGCAGCAGUGGGGAAUAGUGGACAAUGGGGGCAAGCCUGAUCCAGCCAUACCGCGUGGGUGAAGAAGGCCUUCGGGUUGUAAAGCCCUUUUGUUGGGAAAGAAAAGCAGCAGGUUAAGACCCCGCUGUUCUGACGGUACCCAAAGAAUAAGCACCGGCUAACUUCGUG